rnacentral:rRNA from 1 species
GACGAACGCUGGCGGUGUGCUUAACACAUGCAAGUCGAACGGCAACGCACUGAUUUUGUGCGGUGCUCGGUGGGCGAACGCGGGAGUGACACGUGAGUAUCCUGCCCUUCACUUUGGGAUAAGUUCACGUAACGGGGGCUAAUACCGUAUCGGAGCUCCUGCUCCAUGGUGGGGGUUGGAAAUUUGCGGCGGUUGGGGAUGGAUGCGCGGCUUUCCAGCUUGUUGGUGGGGUAGUGGCUGACCCAGCCUUGGACGGGUAGCCGGCCGGGGAGGGUGACCGGCCACAUUGGGACUGAGGUACGGCCCAGACUCCUACGGGAGGCAGCAGUGGGGAAUCUUGCACAGUGGGCCGAAGCCUGAUACGGCAACGCCGCGGGCGGGAUGACGGCUUGCGGGUUGUAAACCGCUGUCGCCUGUGACGAAGCGGGAGUGACGGUAAUGGGUAAAGAAGCACCGGCUAACUACGUG